rnacentral:rRNA from 1 species
CGUAGGCGGGCCAUCAAGUCCGGGGUGAAAUCUUUCGGCUUAACCGGAAAAUUGCCUUGGAUACUGGUGGUCUUGAGGGAAGUAGGGGUCUGCGGAACUUCCGGUGGAGCGGUGAAAUGUGUUGAUAUCGGAAGGAACGCCGGUGGCGAAAGCGGCGGACUGGGCUUCUUCUGACGCUGAGGCGCGAAAGCUAGGGGAGCAAACG